UAGACGAGACUCGGACCAUUUGCCCAAUAAACUCCGAGAUUCAGGAGAGGGGCGGGAAUUUUAAAUGUGUUGUUGUUGCUCUGCGUUUAAGAAACAACACGUUGAGCCUCAGUGAUCGUGAACCUUCGUGCAGAUGAAGAUGAUGAUGAAGCAGACGAUGAUGUUGAGACCCUCGUGUGUCGGAGCGCGUCUUCUAACUGUUACUGGAGAAACAAGACUGAAGCUCAGACCUUUCCAAAGGCUGAGUCCCUGAGCUGUGAGGAUCAUGAGGACCAGCUGGACAGUCCACUGUCCACUCCACAGCCCUGAGGAAGGAGGGACGGCCUCUGGAGAAUCUGUACCAGCCUCAGGAAUGGACACCGAUAUCAGCUGACUGUUCCUUCACUCCUUCAUUCUGAUAAUUCACUACACUGAUGUACUGUUUUAACAUAAUAAAACACUCCUGAGCAAGCUUUUAGUCACUUGUUUUUUAUCUUAUUUUUGUUCUUUAAUUAAACACCAGGUUGUGAACA